GCCCAACACAGAGCAAAAAAAAAAACGCGAUCUUUCUCUGUCACCGUUACAAUGCCCUAGAAUCAUCUUCUCCGCUCGAAUUGAAGCUGACCAUAGACGUAUGCAAAGAUCAAAUUGAAGCUCGAAUCAAGCCAUCCCCUCUCUUCUCUAAAUGAAUCAAAGUUCUCCUUUUUUUUAGGAACGAUUUCAACCAAAUUUUCGACUAAUACAAGAAAAUGAAGCAAGAAGAAGUGGAUUGUUGCCAGAUUCAAGAAUGGUAUCCAAAUUUCAAAUCUGACUCUAUAAAGACCGUUAUCCAUCAACUCCCAGAAUCCUUUAUUCAGUAUCUGGUUGGAGAUUCUGGCCCCUUUCUGCUUCCCACGUCUGUGUCAAAUGAGGACGCCUUUCCCAAUAGGAUUCACAAACCCGAAGAUGAGGAGGACUACCAACUGUCGGAAGGAUCUGACGAUGAGGCAGAGCAACCAUCACAACCCCCUUCGUUCCCGGAACUUGAAUUGAAGAUCAAAGACUCAAUUGAAUCCCUUGAUGGUGCUGUCUUUCCCAAGUUAAAUUGGAGUUCACCAAAAGAUACUGCAUGGGUCAGCACCACUGGAACCCUCAAAUGCACAUCAUUUAGUGACAUAGCUCUCUUACUCAAAUCGUCUGAUUCCUUGGUCCAUGAUUUGUGUCAUGCAUACGAUUCAUGCAGUGACAAGACUUUGUCAAGACCACCUCAUUUCUACCUUGCCCUACGGAAGUGGUACCCUUCUUUGAGACCAGAGAUGGAGUUCCGUUGCUUUGUUCGUGCUCAGCAACUUGUCGGGAUUUCUCAACGUGAAGUUACUGCUUAUUAUCCCGCUGCACUGGAAAGAAAAGAAGAGCUCAAAGAUCUGAUCCAUGAUUUUUUCAUUGAUAAGGUUGAAGGGAAAUUUAAAUCCGAAAAUUACACUUUUGAUGUUUAUAUUACGAAACAUAGGAAGGUAAAGUUAAUUGAUUUUAAUCCUUGGGGUGCAUUCACAUUGCCACUAUUGUUUACUUGGGAGGAGUUGGAGCAAGAUGGAAGGUUGGAGGAAGAUGUUGAUUUCAGAUUAGUGGAAAGCGAGCAAACAGUACGCCCAGGUUUGAAGACUGCGGUUCCUUAUGAUUAUAUUGAUAUGAGCACUGGGAGUGGUUGGGACCAGUUUUUGAGGAAUGCAGACGAGGAGUUGCAGCAACAGAUGAGGUUUCCGGAAGCAGGUGCGUAAGCGUUUGGUAUGCUGGAGGUUACUGGUUUUGGCCAAGUGCUUGUAGUUUUCUUGAUACUUCAGUGUAUGUUUGCUAACUAUUCUUUUAAUUAAUUUUAAUUACUCCUUGAGUUAAAGUAUAAGUACUAUACGAAGAAAAUAGGUAGUAGGGUUGAGGUUGUACGAGUUCCUUUGGUCUCCUUACCAGUGAAUGUUUUUUCGCUUGUCAAGACAACUACACUUGGGCAUUAGCAUGCUUUGGUAUGUUGACAAGGGUGUAGGGAAGCUGUUUACCCAGACAAUCAUGCGUUGUCCAAAGUGUUUCUGCUGAACUUACUUUUCCGAUUGAAAAUCUAGAAUAGCAAGCUCUAAAAUGCAACAUGGUUCAGUACUGAUGAUCGGUUUAACAAACUUGAACCGAAGUUGCGUAUGGGUUAUGGAAAAGGAUGCCGGAAGCAGCCAUGGUGCUAAGUCGCCAACGCUUUCUUGGAGACUCCUUCAGCUGUCUACGGGUUGUCAGAAUCAGAGUAGCACCAAGAUCCUCUAUAUUGGUUGUAUUGGUACAUUGGCUUGUUCAUGUGAAGGAACAAUAUAACAGAUGUUGUAUAGCAUUACAAUUUACAAGUCCUCAAAUACAUUUGGAAAAAUGUAUCACCUUUUAAGCGUAUACUUAGGCUUUGUUCUCUCCACCUGA